rnacentral:rRNA from 1 species
GAUGAACGCUGGCGGCGUGCUUAACACAUGCAAGUCGAACGGUAACAGGCCGCAAGGUGCUGACGAGUGGCGAACGGGUGAGUAAUGCAUCGGAACGUGCCCAGUCGUGGGGGAUAACGCAGCGGAAGCUGUGCUAAUACCGCAUACGAUCUAUGGAUGAAAGCGGGGGACCGUAAGGCCUCGCGCGAUUGGAGCGGCCGAUGUCAGAUUAGGUAGUUGGUGGGGUAAAGGCUCACCAAGCCAACGAUCUGUAGCUGGUCUGAGAGGACGACCAGCCACACUGGGACUGAGACACGGCCCAGACUCCUACGGGAGGCAGCAGUGGGGAAUUUUGGACAAUGGGCGCAAGCCUGAUCCAGCAAUGCCGCGUGCAGGAAGAAGGCCUUCGGGUUGUAAACUGCUUUUGUACGGAACGAAAAGGUUUGGGUUAAUACCCUGGGCCGAUGACGGUACCGUAAGAAUAAGCACCGGCUAACUACGUGCCAGCCGCCGCCGUAAUAC